rnacentral:lncRNA from 1 species
GGGUGGGGAGGUAGAGGCUUACUAGGUGGCAAACUCCGUACCGGAGCAUGGAGGCUGAGGCAGUCCGCGGAGUCACAGAGGCUUACCCUGUGGACAUCCUGGAGGAUGACGCGGAGGGCUAUCAGGCAGCAGCCGAGGCUUACUAUGAGAUGCUCAGGGAAGGAGCCCAGACCUCAGCAGAGGUUAUCUCCCUUUCCACUGGGGAGCAGGUCAGACUUGAGACUUCAUCUCUUUGUUUUUGCACGAUAUACCGUGAUGAACCUCAACAUAAAAUACUGGGUUUGGUUAAUCCCCAGGACACAAAGACAGGUGGGCCUCCAUGUCUCUGCCUUACAUUGACAGCCCG